AUUGAACGCUGGCGGCAGGCCUAACACAUGCAAGUCGAGCGAGCGGCGGACGGGUGAGUAAUGUAUGGGGACUGCCCGAUAGAGGGGGAUAACUACUGGAAACGGUGGCUAAUACCGCAUACUAUCGGAUAACCCAUAUGGGAUUAGCUAGUAGGUGGGGUAAAGGCUCACCUAGGCGACGAUCUCUAGCUGGUCUGAGAGGAUGAUACGCCAAAAUGGGACUUAGACAAGGGCCAGACUCCAAGGGAGGGAGGAGUGGGGAAUCUUUGGAAAUGGGCGGAAGUCUGAAUGAGCCAAGGCGGGGUAUAGAAGAAGGGCUUUAGGUUGUAAAAGUCCUUUCAGAGGGAGGCGUUACCCGCAGAGGAAGCACCGGCUAACUCCGUGCCAGCAGCCGCGGUAAUAC
rnacentral:rRNA from 1 species